rnacentral:rRNA from 1 species
UACGUAGGGUGCGAGCGUUAAUCGGAAUUGCUGGGCGUAAAGCGCGCGCAGGCGGCGCGUUAAGACAGGUGUGAAAGCCCCCGGCUUAACCGGGGAGGGUCGUUGGGGACGGCGGGGCUUGAGGGCGGGAGAGGUCGGUGGAAUUCCCGGUGUAGUGGUGAAAUGCGUAGAGAUCGGGAGGAACACCUGUGGCGAAGGCGGCCGACUGGGCCGACCCUGACGCUGAGGCGCGAAGGCGUGGGGAGCGAACGGG